rnacentral:rRNA from 1 species
UACAGAGGGUGCAAGCGUUAAUCGGAAUUAUUGGGCGUAAAGGGCGCGUAGGUGGUUGUUUAAGUUGGAUGUGAAAUACCCGAGCUUAACUUGGGGAGGUCAUUCGAGACUGGACGACUGGAGUACAAUAGAGGAUAGUGGAAUUUCCGGUGUAGCGGUGAAAUGCGUAGAUAUCGGAAGGAACACCAGUGGCGAAGGCGACUAUCUGGAUUGAUACUGACACUGAGGCGCGAAAGCGUGGGGAGCAAACAGG